rnacentral:rRNA from 1 species
UACGUAGGAGGCAAGCGUUGUCCGGAGUUACUGGGCGUAAAGGGCCCGCAGGCGGUGGAGUAAGUUUGGAGUGACAGUUCCCAGCUUAACCGGGAAAGGACUUCGAAAACUGCUCGACUUGAGGACUGGAGAGGAAGGCGGAAUUCCGGGUGGAGCGGUGAAAUGCGUAGAGAUCCGGAGGAACACCGACGGCGAAGGCAGCCUUCUGGAAAGUACCU